rnacentral:rRNA from 1 species
GAUGAACGCUAGCGGCAGGCCUAAUACAUGCAAGUCGGACGGGAUUCCGGAGCUUGCUUCUGAUGAGAGUGGCGCACGGGUGCGUAACACGUAUGUAACCUACCUUUAUCAGGGGGAUAGCCUCUCGAAAGAGAGAUUAAGCCCGCAUAAAAUCACAGCACAGCAUUGUGUAAUGAUCAAAUAUUUAUAGGAUAAAGAUGGGCAUGCGGAACAUUAGCUAGAUGGCGGGGUAACGGCCCACCAUGGCGACGAUGUUUAGGGGAUCUGAGAGGAUGGCCCCCCAGACUGGUACUGGGAAACGGACGAGACUCCUACGGGAGGCAGCAGUAAGGAAUAUUGGACAAUGGGCGGAAGCCUAAACCAGCCAUGCCGCGUGCAGGAAGACGGCCCUACGGGUUGUAAACUGCUUUUAUAAGGGAAUAAACGCAGAUACGUGUAUCUGGCUGAAUGUACUGUAAGAAUAAGGAUCGGCUAACUACGUG